GGCCCAAGGCAGGCAACACGUCGGAGCUGAAGCUGCUGUGUAACUCCUGUCUGGCAAGACCACAGCCAUGGCCUCCAGAGAAAGGAAUGGAAUGGCUCCUACCACCCGUCCACUUCCCUAAUACAAGAGAAGGUAGUGUCCGUGAGGAGAGAGACUUUGUCUCAAUCUCGACUGAAUCCCCAGUGACUAGAACUGCAAAGAGCAAAGACCCGAGCCCAGGUUCGCUGUUGAAGAGAAGAGGUGUUGGGAGCAGCACCCGCUGGGCAGUGGCCCUGCUGACUGGCCAGGCUCCCUGGGAACGCGCCACUUCCAUCAGCUCCCUGCAGCUGACAUCCUGGAUACCUGAUCUGCUCAUCCGGUCCCACCUUCCUCUUCUGUUGUUUUUGUUGUUAUAUCGUUUGUUUUCUCUAAAUAUAAAAGCGAUGUAUGUUCUUGAAGAAAACAACAGAUUUUGGCCCUUCCUUCUCAGUCUUUUGUCUGACAUACACCCACAUGUGCACACACACAUUAAAGCCAGAAUCACAUGUGCACACAAAUAUUAA